CCUACGGGAGGCAGCAGUGAGGAAUAUUGGUCAAUGGACGAGAGUCUGAACCAGCCAAGUAGCGUGAAGGAUGACUGCCCUAUGGGUUGUAAACUUCUUUUAUAUGGGAAUAAAAUGUUCCACGUGUGGGAUUUUGUAUGUACCAUAUGAAUAAGGAUCGGCUAACUCCGUGCCAGCAGCCGCGGUAAUACGGAGGAUCCGAGCGUUAUCCGGAUUUAUUGGGUUUAAAGGGAGCGUAGGUGGAUUGUUAAGUCAGUUGUGAAAGUUUGCGGCUCAACCGUAAAAUUGCAGUUGACACUGGCAGUCGUGAGUACAGUAGAGGUGGGCGGAAUUCGUGGUGUAGCGGUGAAAUGCUUAGAUAGCACGAAGAACUCCGAUUGCGAAGGCAGCUCACUGGACUGCAACUGACACUGAGGCUCGAAAGUGUGGGUAUCAAACAGGAUUAGAUACCCCGGUAGUC
rnacentral:rRNA from 1 species